UCCUCUUUCACUACACACGAUCGGCACUUGAAUAACCCAACGAACAAGGAACAUCUUCUUAGGCAAGACUACUCGCCACAUUUAUAAUCCAUUACAGCACUUUGCAUUCCAAGUUUAGUGAGCCUUCUUAUACUCUUCACCCAUAUCCUCCUCGAGCUUGUAAUCUCACCGUCCCCACCUCGUUUACUAAUGUCCCGGAUAGUCGUCGACCCGUACCCGCACCACCGCCUACCUCACCCUCUGAACCUGUACUCGUACGUGGCGCCUCGACGUCCACGAACCAACUAACCGCUAGGCUACGAUCCCUCUUCUUCUAGUCCUUCCUUCAACACACAUCUUACUACAAAAGAGACCUCUUUCCUUUUUUCCUUCUACGUUCUACGUUCUAUCAUUUUCUCUCCCGCACGUCCGAGUCCUGGUCGGUUGAAUUAACAUUAGUACUUAGAAUACACACAAGACCUGACCACGAGUUCACAAGACCUCAUCUUUAGAACACCAGUACCUAUAAUGAGUUAACAAACCUGGUAAAUCACAAACUUGAUAAAAUCUCGUCGCUUAUCCCCAGGAAAAUACACUAAACACAAAAGACCUACCAACGGUUCUACCGGUUUGAAACGAAAACACUUCUAACUGAACACAAACUUGGACACUUGUUAUACACACACACAUAAAAACAAUGGUAAAAUAGUUACUAGCAC
rnacentral:rRNA from 1 species